AUUGAACGCUGGCGGCAUGCCUUACACAUGCAAGUCGAACGGCAGCACGGGAGUAAUCCUAGUGGCGAGUGGCGAACGGGUGAGUAAUAUAUCGGAACGUGCCCAGUCGUGGGGGAUAACGCAGCGAAAGCUGUGCUAAUACCGCAUACGAUCUAAGGAUGAAAGCGGGGGAUCGCAAGACCUCGCGCGAUUGGAGCGGCCGAUAUCAGAUUAGCUAGUUGGUGGGGUAAAGGCCCACCAAGGCGACGAUCUGUAGCUGGUCUGAGAGGACGACCAGCCACACUGGAACUGAGACACGGUCCAGACUCCUACGGGAGGCAGCAGUGGGGAAUUUUGGACAAUGGGCGCAAGCCUGAUCCAGCAAUGCCGCGUGCAGGAUGAAGGCCUUCGGGUUGUAAACUGCUUUUGUACGGAACGAAACGGCCCUUUCUAAUACAGGGGGCUAAUGACGGUACCGUAAGAAUAAGCACCGGCUAACUACGUGCCAGCCGCCGCCGUAAACC
rnacentral:rRNA from 1 species